rnacentral:rRNA from 1 species
CGAGUCUGAAUAGGGCGUUUAGUCGCAUGCUGUAGACCCGAAGCCGAGUGAUCUAUCCAUGGGCAGGUUGAAGCGGGGGUAAGACCCCGUGGAGGACCGAACCCACUAAAGUUAAAAAUUUAGGGGAUGACCUGUGGAUAGGGGUGAAAGGCCAAACAAACUCGGUGAUAGCUGGUUCUCUCCGAAAUGCAUUUAGGUGCAGCGUCGUGUGUUCAGUGAUGGAGGUAGAGCACUGGAUGGGCUAGGGGGCCUACAAGCUUACCGAACCCAGCCAAACUCCGAAUGCCAUCACUCCAGAGCACGGCAGUGAGACCACGGGGGAUGAGCUUCGUUGGUCGAAAGGGAAACAGCCCAGAUCGCCGGCUAAGGCCCCAAAUUCCAGACUAAGUGGAAAACGAUGUGGGACUGCACAGACAGCCAGGAGGUUGGCUUAGAAGCAGCCAUCCUUAAAAAG